rnacentral:rRNA from 1 species
UACAGAGGUCUCAAGCGUUGUUCGGAUUCAUUGGGCGUAAAGGGUGCGUAGGUGGCGCGCUAAGUCAGGUGUGAAAUUUCGGAGCUUAACUCCGAAACUGCAUUUGAUACUGGCGUGCUUGAGGACUGGAGAGGAGACUGGAAUUCAUGGUGUAGCAGUGAAAUGCGUAGAGAUCCGGAGGAACACCGAAGGCGAAGGCAGUGUCCUGGCGCGUAACUGACGCUGAGGUGCGAAAGCCAGGGGAGCGAACGGG